UUGGAGGGCAAGUCUGGUGCCAGCAGCCGCGGUAAUUCCAGCUCCAAUAGCGUAUAUUAAAGUUGCUGCAGUUAAAAAGCUCGUAGUUGAAUUUCGGGGUUAGUAGGUUGGUCAUGCCACUUGUAUGUACUGGUCUCACUGAUUCCUCCUUCCUGAUGAGACGUAAUGCCAUUAAUUUGGUGUUGCGAGGAAUCUGGACUGUUACUUUGAAAAAAUUAGAGUGUUUAAAGCAGGCUAACGCUUGAAUACAUUAGCAUGGAAUAAUGAAAUAGGACGUUCGAUCUUAUUUUGUUGGUUUCUAGGAUUGACGUAAUGAUUAAUAGGGAUAGUUGGGGGCAUUAGUAUUCAAUUGUCAGAGGUGAAAUUCUUGGAUUUAUUGAAGACUAACUACUGCGAAAGCAUUUGCCAAGGAUGUUUUCAUUAAUCAAGAACGAAAGUUAGGGGAUCGAAGACGAUCAGAUACCGUCGUAGUCUUAACCAUAAACUAUGCCGACUAGGGAUCGGAUGAUGUUAAUUUUUUAAUGACUCAUUCGACGCCUUACGGGAAACCAAAGUGUUUGGGUUC
rnacentral:rRNA from 1 species